rnacentral:rRNA from 1 species
GAUGAACGCUGGCGGCGUGCCUAAUACAUGCAAGUCGAGCGAACAGACGAGGAGCUUGCUCCUUCGACGUUAGCGGCGGACGGGUGAGUAACACGUAGGUAACCUACCUAUAAGACUGGGAUAACUUCGGGAAACCGGAGCUAAUACCGGAUAAUAUUUCGAACCGCAUGGUUCGAUAGUGAAAGAUGGCUUUGCUAUCACUUAUAGAUGGACCUGCGCCGUAUUAGCUAGUUGGUAAGGUAACGGCUUACCAAGGCAACGAUACGUAGCCGACCUGAGAGGGUGAUCGGCCAAACUGGAACUGAGACACGGUCCAGACUCCUACGGGAGGCAGCAGUAGGGAAUCUUCCGCAAUGGGCGAAAGCCUGACGGAGCAACGCCGCGUGAGUGAUGAAGGUCUUCGGAUCGUAAAACUCUGUUAUUAGGGAAGAACAAACGUGUAAGUAACUGUGCACGUCUUGACGGUACCUAAUCAGAAAGCCACGGCUAACCACGUG